UACGUAGGUGACAAGCGUUGUCCGGAUUUACUGGGCGUAAAGAGCGCGCAGGCGGUCGUUCAAGUCGAGUGUGAAAGCCCCCGGCUCAACUGGGGAGGGUCAUUCGAUACUGAUCGACUCGAAGGCAGGAGAGGGUAGUGGAAUUCCUGGUGUAGCGGUGAAAUGCGCAGAUAUCAGGAGGAACACCGAUGGCGAAGGCAGGUCUCUGGGCAUUAACUGACGCUGAGGAGCGAAAGCAUGGGGAGCGAACAGG
rnacentral:rRNA from 1 species